rnacentral:rRNA from 1 species
UACGUAGGGGGGCUAGCGUUGUCCGGAAUCAUUGGGCGUAAAGCGCGUGUAGGCGGCCCGGUAAGUCCGCUGUGAAAGUCGGGGGCUCAACCCUCGGAUGCCGGUGGAUACUGUCGGGCUCGAGUACGGAAGAGGCGAGUGGAAUUCCUGGUGUAGCGGUGGAAUGCGCAGAUAUCAGGAAGAACACCAACGGCGAAGCAGCUCGCUGGGACGGUACUGACGCUGAGACGCGAAAGCGUGGG